AUCUUUUGGAGUUGGAUCCAAAAGACUUGGAAUCAUUCCUGCUUCCAAAGCCAAGUAUGAGGUUGAGGGGACUCAAGAAUAUGUUCCAGGACCUCACACAGACUGGCACCAUAAAUGAUGGGGGAGU
rnacentral:miRNA from 1 species